CCGUUUUUUAAGCCCGUCGGAAAAGCGCAGUAUUCGGGUGGGGUGACCUGAUUUUCCAGGUGCCCUCAGUCACCCCUUUCUUUGACUCGGAAAGGGAACUCCCUGACCCCUUGCGCUUCCCAAGUGAGGCAAUGCCUCGCCCUGCUUCGGCUCGCACACGGUGUGCGCACCCACUGACCUGCGCCCACUGUCUGGCACUCCCUAGUGAGAUGAACUGGGUACCUCAGAUGGAAAUGCAGAAAUCACCCGUCUUCUGCGUCGCUCACGCUGGGAGCUGUAGACCGGAGCUGUUCCUAUUCGGCCAUCUUGGCUCCUCCUGCUUCUUUCCUUGAUAUGAUGUUCAAACCAGGAAAAUGUGCAAAUAUCAAGGUUACCUGGGUCUGCUGGUCACUUCUAGUUUUUGGACUCUUGAAGAUGGUCUCUGUGACUCUGUCCUGGGUGAGAAGAAAGCAAGCAACCUCCAAAGUGCUUGCCAUUCAAGAAGCCUUCAUGCCCUCAGCUUUAUUGGGAGGGCAUCCUGGAAUGAACCCCACUGCGCAGGAGAGGCAAGGAAACUGUUCUUAGAAGAGGCCUGAAGAGAAACAUGACUGACUAGGUAAGAUUAGAGGCUAUACCAGAUGUUUGGGUCACUCUCUGGAGGUUCCUGGGGCAGCAAGUAGAAGCUCAGCCAGUACUACGCAAGGGGGCUUUUUCCAAGCCCUUUCAGGGGCCAUGUCCUGGACAGAAACCUACCCUGAGGAGCCAGAGCACUGCGGGCAGGAGAGGAGGACCUGCCUGGAGAAGUCACAUCCAGACAUACAGCCCGGCAGCUCCUAUGGAAAAGCAGGACUUGAGCAACAGGGGGCAGCAAAGCACAACCGCCUUCUUCAGCUGAGCCCUAGGGCAGCCUUGGGAGGCAGGCAGUGAGGGGCAGGAGAGUUGGCCCCCCUCUCAGGGGACAGCUGCUUGGCUGGCCAGAGGUAAUGGCCAAGUUUGAAUCUGAAGUAGAGAUAUAUGCCAGAAAAAAAAAAGAAAAGAAUGAUGCCCUGGGCAAGUGGGAUGUGGCUAAGGCUCAGAAGAAAUUUCCUCAGCAAGAGUAAAGGGUACACUGACUUCCCCCAACCCAAGUUAUGACUGAAAACUGACACAUACACCAAUGACAUAUACAUUUUCCCUUAAGUCUCUUCCUUCUAAUUCCCCAAAUUUCUCUUUGUGGCUCAUAUUUUGGGAUAGAAAUGGAAGCAGAAAGGGAAGGGCUAAGAAGGAAUUAGAGGUAGAAAAGGCAAGAAAAAUAAUAAUGAGAAUAAACCAAAUAAAGAGAAAUAAACCAAGCUUGCCCCUUGUUG
rnacentral:lncRNA from 1 species